rnacentral:lncRNA from 1 species
CAAACAGAAAAGUUUUUGGCAGAGAAACCGUAGAGUUGAAAAACAUACCAACAAACCAAUCAAUUCAACCAUGCCUCUAAAUUUCCACCAGAGCUCUUAUAUACCAGCUCCUGUAACUUUAUCUUAUAUUUUUUUUCCUCUUUCUAGGAAAGACAGAAUGCUUAUUCUUACCAAAAAAAUGACAUUUAAAACAAUACAUUUCUCUGACACUUUAUAUACUACCUCUGAUAGCACAUUGUUAUCAGGGAUAGGAGUACAAGGGUUUGAUAUGAUUAUAUGAUAUAUCAUCACAUAUUUCCUUUCAAUGUAUCUUUCUCUCUC